CCUACGGGUGGCAGCAGUAGGGAAUCUUUCACAAUGGGCGAAAGCCUGAUGGAGCAACGCCGCGUGCAGGAUGAAGGCCUUCGGGUUGUAAACUUCUUUUGACAGGGAAGAGCAGAAGACGGUACCUGUCGAAUAAGCCACGGCUAACUACGUGCCAGCAGCCGCGGUAAUACGUAGGUGGCAAGCGUUGUCCGGAUUUACUGGGUGUAAAGGGCGUGUAGCCGGGCUGACAAGUCAGAUGUGAAAUCCGGGGGCUCAACCCCCGAACUGCAUUUGAAACUGUUGGUCUUGAGUAUCGGAGAGGCAGGCGGAAUUCCUAGGGUAGCGGUGAAAUGCGUAGAUAUUAGGAGGAACACCAGUGGCGAAGGCGGCCUGCUGGACGACAACUGACGGUGAGGCGCGAAAGCGUGGGGAGCAAACAGGAUUAGAUACCCGGGUAGUC
rnacentral:rRNA from 1 species